rnacentral:lncRNA from 1 species
UGGAAUGGAAGCCAAGAAUCCUGCUGUGGUGGAAGGGGGAUAGAUUCAUGAAUUCUCCACAAUAAGAUAUUUUACUUCUUUUUAACAGCCCCAUCAGCAGAGAGAAAUAAUGACUCCCGAAACAUUUCAGAAUCAAAAAGUUAAAACGAUGUUUCAGUGAUGCUACAUCAUGCCAGACACGGGCUAAUGGUUUGAAGAUAAUGGCCUAGCAAGAUGGCAACGAGCUUAAAAAAUAGGAUUCCUAAGAAGUUACUUUUUUCAGUUGUGUUGAUGUUCCUUUCAGCUGGUCCUAUAGCCCCCCUCCUCAGGAAGGUCUCCCCAGUGAAAAGACAUAAACGGCACUGGACACAGCUGCACUGGGGGACGCUCAAGCCAACUAUGAAGUUGAAACAAAGGAAGUGAUCACCUGAAGACACCUCUCCUGCUAAGCAGCACCCCCAAAUGGUGCAGUUUCAGGAAAUAGAACUCCCAGAACACGAGGCAAUCUUUUCAAGAAACAGAAAAAACUUCACAGUGACAUCUAGAUUUCUAAAGAGCCAAAGACUUUCCCUUCCUCGUGUGUAUUCCUCUGUUUGUAUUUUAAUUCAGUGUGACAUUCAUUUCUAAAAUAUUUCCCUGGUAUGGAUAUGCUUAUUAAUGCACCAAUUUUUAAAACAGAAAAUCACACAAAUGUGUUCAUGUUUUAAGGAACAAAAUUAAUGGUAUAAGUAGUUUGAUUUUUAGCCGCACAUGGUUUGAUCUGAAGAGUGACCUAAAGGAAUAUAAAGUACUUUUGAAAUAACAAGGUAGUCAGAGGCAAUCCAAACGCUAAAAUAACAGUGGAAACUCAUAAGGCAGCCAAGAAAUACCACAGGAUCCCACCUGACACCGAACAAUGAACUAUUCUUUUAAUCAAGCAAGAUAGGUUCCAUAAGACAUGGUCACUGCCUCUAAAGAGUGUAAAUAUAGUUCUACAGAGAUACAUAAACUUUUGAAAAGAUAGCAACAAAUCAGGUCUAUAGAUGUUAAGACCACAACAAAACAGAAGAUAUAAACAAAGAGCUCAGAGGAGGUCACCAUUAUCUGGGCAAAACUAGUCUGUUUAGGGAAGAAAGCUUCCAAAGGAGGAAAAUACAAGAUGAAUCUUAAAGAAUGUUAAAGAUUUAGGGGCACGUGGCUGACUCAGUUGGUAGAGCAUGAGACUCUUAAUCUCAGGGUUGUAAGUUUAAGUCCCACAUUGGGCAUGGAGCUUACUUAAAAAAAAAAAAAAGAAGAAGAUAGCAGGAGGGAAAGAAUGAAGGGGGGUGGAAAGAAUAUUAAAGAUUUAGAUAAAAGGAAAGGAAAGAGAAAAUAGAGUCCUUUAAAUGAAUGUGAUAUUGUGAGCAAAACCAUGGAGGAAGGAAUCUAUGUCGUGAAUUUAGGGAAUUGUGAAUAUACAUGUCUAGCUGACAUUCAGGACCAGUGUAUAUAUACAUAUAUGGUAAGGACUUCACACACACACGCUUCCCUUCUCUUGGAUGUCACCUGGAUGUCACCUAGAAUUAUCAUCGUAUUUCUUUGCCAUUAAAGCAAGUGACAGUGAUUGGUGGUACUAUGAGAACUUACGAUUUUUUUCUGUUACUUAAUAAUAAUUGGUAUUUAUUGAGUUCUUAUGGUAUGUUAAGCAUUUUACAUAUGAACUCACUUAAGCCUGCAACUCAGAACAACCCGCAAAAUGGUAUUAUUAUCCCUGUUUUAAAGAUAAGGUUUAAUGAGGUCAAGUAAUUUGCCAAACUGCCAUAUACAGGGUUCACAUUCAGAACUGUGAUUACAAGGCUCAUGAUCUAAAGCACUGAGUCACAAUAUUGUGAUCAAUGUAGCAGUAUUACCACUUGAAUAUUCCUUGGUAGUUUUUUACGGUAAACAAAUAGCUAUGUCAUUCAGUCAUCCCCUCAAUUUUUUCAGUUUCCUGCUCAAAUCACGUUAGAAUGAUGGAAAGAAUUUUCAUGAUAGAAAAUUGAAAGAAUUGGGAAAUAGAGCUUAUCAGCAUUUUAGGCUUUUGUUUUGGUUUUUAUUGUUUUUUGCCAGACGUUGAGGAAAUUGUUCACUGUGUUCUGCAUGAAAUCUCAAAUUUUUGAGAAUUAAAAAGAGAGGGGGGCACUUAAAGGUCAUCUGUCGUAAUGUGCUUUUCUACAGAUGACAAAUCAAAGUUAGAGCAACUUACAAAAGAUCACACAUUUGCGUUUGGCAGAGCUAGGUCCAGACACUAGGCUGCCCAGUCUCCUCUCAGAGGCUCUUAAACUACUCCACCCUGCCUAAAUGAAGGAUGAACUUGAAUUUGAUCAAGGGAAGAAUUCUCUCUGGGUGAUCAGGGAGCACCGCACCUAAUAGAUUAUUUCAAUUUUGCUCCUCUUCGGCUUCCCACCUCAACGUGGAAAAAUAGCCAGUUAUGAAAUAACAUCUUUUGACGCAGAAAUUGUCAAUGCUCCAUCCCCAGAGAACACAUAAUGGCUCAAGUUAUGUGUAUAAUGUCUUCAAUGAUAUCCUUAUUUGGAGUUCUUAGCUCACCUAAAUAAACCAGAUCUUCUAAUGAGCAUUUUCUUACCCAAUUUUAUGCACAGUAUGUAUUUGUAAGUGCUUCUGCAUGAAUAUUUAUAAAUGACUGUUUCAAUAGUCCUUAUGUUUUUGAAAAUAUCAAUGGUUAUUUGCUAUUUUAAUCCUCACUUAUCCAUGCAACUACCUCAAGAAUACUUCAGCCCUAAAAAGCUAGAAUUGAGGAAAUCUCAUUCUUCUUUACCAGCUCCUUUGCAUUUAGUUAGCAUUUAGUAAUGAUUAAUAAAGUGGUCAGCUGGAUAACACAGAGGUUCAGUAGGAAAUUCCGUCUUGAAGAAGUCAGUUAAGCUGGAUCUACUUAAGGACAAACAUCUAGACAUUUGGAAGUACCUGAAUAUUUGACUGUUGUAAAUUUCCACAUAAAAGUCUGGCAUUGUCCGACGUAGACCUCCUUGUGGCUCAGGUCGUCCUGUUUUCAAAAUGAUUAUUGGCCACAUCUCACACAGUUCUCAUUAAGUGAGUUCAUAAAUAAACAGGGUUUUUUUUUUUUUUAAAGAGUAGCCAAGCACAAAAUGUGACUUUGUUGACAUUUUAUGAGAUUUUGUCAUAUGUCCCUUGAAUCCCCAAUAAAAACAAUGUUGUAUCAACUGUGAACCUGUGUUGAUUUCUUGGAAGAGCAUGCUCUCAUAAUUUGUUUGUUUUCCCUAGUGUAUAUCAAAGCUAAUUUCAGGAUCCACGAGGAGCAGUUGAUCUGAUGUGAUGGGAAAAACUUAAAUUUAGAGACCAUUUCUACAAUCCUAUAUUGGCCCUUCAAUAAACAGCACUAUCAUCUACCCAGGUCAGAAAGCAAGGUGUGGUGGUUGUCUUUUCUCCUUCCACCUGUCAUGGCCAAUCAGUCAGGACAAACGAUUAGAUUUUUCUCUUCUGUUUGCAAAUACAUCUGCUUCUCUUCAUCUUGUGUGCCGCUGUUAAGACAGCCCUCAUUUCUCACGUGGACUACUGAGUCAUGCCUCUAAUUUUUCCCUCCACACUGCCAACCAGCAGCCAGGGAAAUCUCUCUAAACCACAGACAUGAUCAUAUCAUUCCACAGCUUCAAACUUUUCACCAGCUUUCCAUUGACCUUGGAAUAUUGUGACACCUAAAGCCCUUCAUAUCCUGGAUCUUGGCCCCAACGUUCCCAUCUGGAUUCCUCAGGUGCCUGUCUCCCACUGCUUUUCUAGGUUCUUGCCAUACCUCUUUGCCAUUUCUUAAUGUUCUCUUUACCUUCUGGGCUUUCUCACACACCUAAACCUUCUGCUUAGUACCCUUGCCACUACCCUUCUAGACGUCAUCUCUUGUCCUUCAGUUCUCAGUCUGGAAGUCACUUCCUCUUGGAAAUUUCCACCCCAGUUCAUCACUACCCCUACCUAGGACAGGCUUCUUCACGUAGGAGCUUUCCUAGCAUUCUGUGCUUACUUCAUAUUAGCACUUAUCAUCCAGAUGAAGAUAAUUUAUAUGCCAGUCUCCUCCGUUUGAAUGUGAAAUUCUAGACCUGCCUUCAUGGAUAGGGGAGCCACUCACCAGAAGCGGCCACUGUAAUUUAAAUUCACUAAUAUUGAAGAAGAUUAAAAAUUCGGUUCCUCAGUUGCACUGGCCAUCUCUCAAG